GUAUUGGAAGAUACCGUUAAUCCGCGUUGUCAAACGAUGUGUCUCAAAUUCACGUGUGUGUGUGUGUGUGUGAGUUGAUAGUUUGCCAGUUGGUUAUAUAGUUCAUUGGAAAUAAAUACGCGUGUAUAUUGGAUAAGUGCAAUGACCCAUCCUACGUAAGGAGACACAAGACGUCAUUUGUAUUCCACUUAGAUAUAUUUUCGAUGGCAUCAUUUUGAGACAAUUUUCUGGACAUCUCACCGCGUU